rnacentral:rRNA from 1 species
UACGGAGGGGGCAAGCGUUACCCGGAUUGACUGGGUGUAAAGGGUCCGCAGGCGGUUAGAUGUGUUGGUUCUGAAAUCCUAUGGCUCAACCAGAGAAUUGGAACCAAUACUAUCUAACUUUGAGUCAGGGAGAGGAAGACGGAACUGCCGGUGUAGCGGUGAAAUGCGUAGAUAUCGGCAGGAACACCAUUGGCGAAGGCGGUCUUCUAUCCCUGAACUGACGCUCAGGGACGAAAGCGUGGGGAGCGAUCGGG